AUGACCAUCGGUGGCCCCCGCGGCCGGCACCCCCGCCUCCAGAUGCCCUGUCUGCGCAAGGUGAGAGCACCGGCACCGGCCUCACGGGCACCGGGCACCGCACCGGGCACCGCACCGGGCACGGGCAGCGGGGACCGGGCACAAGCACCGCGGGGACCGAGCACCGCGGGAACAGGGCACCGGCACCGUGGGGACCGGGUACCGAAGGGAGAGGGUGCUGGCACCGUGGGGACAGGAUACCGGCACCGUGGGGACCGGGGACCGAGGGGAGAGGGCGCUGGCAGCCCGGGGAGCGGGCACCGGCAUCGUGGGGACCGGGGACCGAGGGGAGAGGGUGCUGGCACCGUGGGGAUAGGGCACCGGCACCGUGGGGACCGGGUCCUGAGGGGAGCGGGCGCUGGCACCGUGGGGACCGGGUAUCGAGGGGAGCGGGCGCUGGCAGCCCGGGGAGCGGGCACCGGCACUACUCUGGACGCCGCGGGCAUCGGGGACUGGGAGUCGGGGAUCACCGGCGACCCGGGGGUACCGGCACCACCCCGUGUCCCGUGGGACAGUGGGCACCACCCCGGCCCCGCCACGGGCCCCCGGGAACCGCCCCACGAGGGGACACCCCCGGAGCCCCUGCCCCGGGCGCUGCCACAGCCCCGGAAGAGCUCGGUCCCCAAACCGGGGCUCCCCGGCCCAGGGAUGCCCGGCGGCGGGGUGCCUGCACCCCCGGCGUUGGACGCUCGCCCAGCUGUGGGGUGCCAGGCUGUCCCUCAGCCGGGCACAGCGUGCCCCAGAACCGGCUGUGGGGUGCCAGGCUGUCCCCAGAACAGGGUGUCCUGGGUCGGGGCAGGGGUGGCCAGGCUGUCCCUGGGCUGGGCACAGCGUGCUCCAGAUCCAGCUUUGGGUGCCAGGCUGUCCCUAGAAUGGACACAGGGUGCCCCAGAUCCAGCUGUGGGGUGCCAGGCUGUCCCUAGAAUGGACACAGGGUGCCCCAGAUCCAGCUGUGGGGUGCCAGGCUGUCCCUAG
rnacentral:lncRNA from 1 species